CAUGUAACAUUAUAUUAGUUUCAGGUGUACAAUAUGAUUAUUUGGCAUUUGUAGGGAUAAACUUAUUUUUAAACAAUAUGUAAAUUAUAUUUUGAAACAGUAUGUUCCAGAAUGUGUUUUCAGAUAAAAAAAUUUCUAAAUGUAAAGCAAUGUAUUUAGUGGUUAAUCUGGAAAAAAAUACAGUUACUAAACAUAUAUACUAACAGUGUCCAAAAAGUCUAGAAACAUGGGUAAAAUAAGAUAUGUGUUGUACUUUUUUAGAUUAAUAAUUGGACAUAUUGCUUUGCAUUUAGAAGUACUUCACCUAAGGGGUGCCUGGGUGGCUCAGUCGGUUAAGCGGCCGACUUUGGCUCAGGUCAUGAUCUUGCGGUCCGUGGGUUCGAGCCCCGCGUCGGGCUCUGUGCUGACAGCUCAGAGCCUGGAGCCUGUUUCAGAUUCUGUGUCUCCCUCUCUCUGACCCUCCCCCGUUCAUGCUCUGUCUCUCUCUGUCUCAAAAAUAAAAAAACGUUAAAAAAAAAAAAAAAAAAAAAAAAAAAAAAAGAAGUACUUCACCUAAAAUGUGUCUGGAGGCUGAAGAAAAGUACACCAAACAAAAUAUUAUAAAAUACAGCUAACACACAGUAUAAAAAUAAGUUUAUAUUUUUCCAGCCUCAUGGACAUACUAUAUUAUACAGUACAUAAGCCACUCAAUCUCUUUUACUAUAAUGAAUGAAUGAGCAAAAUUCCAAUAAGACAGUCUCUGAGACUAAGUUUUUUGUGAGAACUCCAAUAUGAUGUAUAACUUGGUAAAGGAUGUCAAUGUUGCUCUGUAAAGGCUUCCUAGGUUCUUGGUGGUAAACCUAUAGCAUCAUAACACGUGUAUGGAUUGGUGUUAAAGUAGCAGCUAAGGUGUGAAUCCAAUCACUGGAUAUUGUGGAAAACUUAAAUAAGAUUAUUGUCCUCAGGGAAAGUGGCUAAUAUUAGUUUCCCUUUUCUUUAUCAGGGACACCUCUUCGUAGAAAAAAAAUAAGGGAGGAGCACCUGGGUGGCUCAGUCAUGUUAACAUUGAGCUUGGAACUGUUUCAUGUGUGUUUCAAAGAGUUGAAUAGUCUGCCAGUAGGAUUCUGGGAAACACUACUUUUACAAGAAAGUGACCUACAAGCCUCAAGAAAGUGGUAAAGAAGGAAAAGCCAAGGAUAAUAUGUGACCAGCAGCAGCAACAUGCUCUUGUUUCAGUAAUACCCAGGCUGGUGAACAAGUACAGACUGGCUAGUGACUGGCCCACAUCAAUCAAGGACACUUUAAUCUUUCUAAAGGGAUGAAAAAUGAUUGGCGAUGCUUCUCUGAAUUAUUUUGAAAUAUUUCUGUAGAAAGAAACAGAGAAAUGCACAUGGUGUGAAUAGAAGAUGGAAAAACCAGUUUGAUGGGGGAAAAUGAGAAGAAUGUGAGAGCACUCCCUACUGGAGCAGAGGAAGGAGAACAGAGAGGCUCUGGGUCGGAAUGCCUGUGGCACAAUUGUGCUUCAGUCUAGUCCCGUUGAACACAUUAACAUGAAGUCUGUUUGUAUAUUCCCAAUUGCUAUGUGGCCAAGAACAAGUAAGUUUAUGUAAUGUUCCAAAGAAACAGCUCGACACCGUGGCUCAUUUUAACCCAGAUAGUGUGAGCCUUCACAAACUCUUCCUUGUAUCCUAUGCCUGCUGGAGUACUGGACAGACUCCACUCACUCACUGUGCACCUCGGUGGAAACUAACAAACAAUACAGUCACUGUCAGUAGAUGUUGCCUCCUCAGCGUACAGAGCCAAAAAAAAUUAUGGAAAAAUGUGUAUUAACAAUUUAAAAAGAGAAAAAUCUAUAUCUGAGCCCAACAGAAGAAUACACAGCAUGUCAGAUAACACUAAAGCCAGUAAGUUGAA